rnacentral:RNase_P_RNA from 1 species
GAAGCUGACCAGACAGUCGCCGCUUUGUCGUCGUCCCUCUUGUAGGGAGACGGGCAGAGGGGAGGAAAGUCCGGGCUCCAUAGGGCAGGGUGCCAGGUAACGCCUGGGGGGCGCAAGCCUACGACCAGUGCAACAGAGAGCAAACCGCCGAUGGCCCAUUUAUGGGAUCAGGUAAGGGUGAAAGGGUGCGGUAGUACGGCCCGUACUGAACCCGGGUAGGCUGCUUGAGCCAGUGAGCGAUUGCUGGCCUAGAUGAAUGACUGUCCACGACAGAACCCGGCUUAUCGGUCAGUUUCGACU